CCUACGGGUGGCAGCAGUGAGGAAUAUUGGUCAAUGGGGGAAACCCUGAUGCAGCAACGCCGCGUGAGUGAAGAAGUAUUUCGGUAUGUAAAGCUCUAUCAGCCGGGAAGAGAAUGAUGGUACCUGACCAAGAAGCCCCGGCUAACUACGUGCCAGCGGCCGCGGUAAUACGUAGGGGGCGAGCGUUAUCCGGAUUUACUGGGUGUAAAGGGAGUUUAGUCGGUUCUGCAAGUCUGAAGUGAAAGCCCGUGGCUUAACCGCGGAACGGCGUUGGAAACUGUGGAACUGGAGUGCUGGAGAGGCAAGCGGAAUGCGUGGUGUAGCGGUGAAAUGCAUAGAUAUUAGGAAGAACACCGGUGGCGAAGGCAGCUUGCUGGACAGUAACUGACGUUGAGGCUCGAAAGCGUGGGGAGCAAACAGGAUUAGAUACCCGAGUAGUC
rnacentral:rRNA from 1 species